ACGUACCACAGGGGGAGCCGCCGUGCUGAGAGUGAACAAAUUGUUCAGACCCUUCGAACCUGUUAGUUAACGCUAGCGUAGGAAUGUGGGAAUAGUAGCAU
rnacentral:ncRNA from 3 species